GACGAACGCUGGCGGCGUGCUUAACACAUGCAAGUCGAACGGAAAGGCCCCUUUGGGGGUACUCGAGUGGCGAACGGGUGAGUAACACGUGAGUAACCUGCCCUUGACUUCGGGAUAACUUCAGGAAACUGGGGCUAAUACCGGAUAGGAAUCCUUGCUGCAUGGUGGGGGUUGGAAAGCUUCGGCGGUUUUGGAUGGACUCGCGGCUUAUCAGCUUGUUGGUGGGGUAGUGGCUUACCAAGGCUUUGACGGGUAGCCGGCCUAAGAGGGCGACCGGCCACAUUGGGACUGAGAUACGGCCCAGACUCCUACGGGAGGCAGCAGUGGGGAAUAUUGCACAAUGGGCGGAAGCCUGAUGCAGCAACGCCGCGUGCGGGAUGACGGCCUUCGGGUUGUAAACCGCUUUCAGCAGGGGCGAAGCUUGUGGUGACGGUACCUGCAGAAGAAGCACCGGCUAACUACGUG
rnacentral:rRNA from 1 species